UGAAAUUACUCAGUUGACCGUCAUAUAACAACUAACCGGCCAUCGGUGACCGCAACUCGUUCGUCUUGUCAGUCAUAGAUUUUGCUGUUCGGCGCGCGCAUCUUUCUUGCCAUUGGCUGUGUCGAUAGUCACGCCUGUUAACAUGCGCAGUGUUCAUGUAUUUACGUUUGAUCACGUACCAAAUAACGCGCCCACAACUUUAACGACCAACACGACGACCAAUUUAAAAAAAAUAGGAAACGCCACUGAGUUGCCAGUCGGUGUUGUUGACAAACGUUAUCGCUAUUGUAACAUGAUAAAUACUAUUUUGUGUUUUCGAACAGUUUAUCAUAUUCUUUUAUCGUUGAAUACUCAUUUCGACAAUUUAAGUAAACAGGUAAUCUAAAAUGUUACAUCACCACUAUUUUUUGGGAUGAAACGACUACGACCUUUUGAUUUUAAAAUGGUAACAUAUAUAAAAUGGUCCAUGUAUAUAUAAAA